AUUGAACGCUGGCGGCAUGCCUUACACAUGCAAGUCGAACGGCAGCACGGGAGCAAUCCUGGUGGCGAGUGGCGAACGGGUGAGUAAUGUAUCGGAACGUGCCCAGUCGUGGGGGAUAACGUAGCGAAAGCUACGCUAAUACCGCAUACGAUCUGUGGAUGAAAGCGGGGGACCGUAAGGCCUCGCGCGAUUGGAGCGGCCGAUAUCAGAUUAGGUAGUUGGUGAGGUAAAGGCCUACCAAGCCGACGAUCUGUAGCUGGUCUGAGAGGACGACCAGCAACACUGGGACUCAGACACGGCCCAGACUCCUACGGGAGGCAGCAGUGGGGAAUUUUGGACAAUGGGCGCAAGCCUGAUCCAGCAAUGCCGCGUGCAGGAUGAAGGCCUUCGGGUUGUAAACUGCUUUUGUACGGAGCGAAAAGGCUCUCUCUAAUACAGGGGGCUCAUGACGGUACCGUAAGAAUAAGCACCGGCUAACUACGUGCCAGCCGCCGCAGUAAGAC
rnacentral:rRNA from 1 species